ANAUAAGUUUAUAUCUUGAAACUGCGAACGGCUCAUUAAAUCAGUUAUAAUCUACUUGAUUGUAAAAUCUACAUGGAUAACUGUAGUAAUUCUAGAGCUAAUACAUGCAAAAAAUCCUGACUGUUAUAGAAAGGAUGUAUUUAUUAGGUACAAAAUCAAUGCUGGCACUUGUGUCAGGUUUAUUGAUGAUUCAUAAUAACUAAACGAAGCGCACGACCUUGCGUUGGCGCUGAUACAAACGAGUUUCUGCCCUAUCAACUUUCGAUGGUAGUAUAGAGGACUACCAUGGUUUCAACGGGUAACGGGGAANUANCNCGGCGCCGGCGNGGGGGGNGGNGGUNUUNGACUUGCNUUGUGGGAANGGUUGGGGUGGNANAUUAAUCUUAAANUGGUUUUUNCGUGUUG
rnacentral:rRNA from 1 species